rnacentral:tRNA from 1 species
UGAUGUAGCUCAGUAGGUAGAGCACCGCAUUGGUAGUGCGGAGGUCUCGGGUUCAAAUCCCGUCAUCA